UGGUGGAGUGAUUUGUCUGGUUGAUUCCGUUAACGAACGAGACCUCGACCUGCUUACUAGUUUGGUUCAUCUUCGGAUGAAGUCAAUACUUCUUAGAGGGACUAUCGGUGUGUAGCCGAUGGAAGUUCGAGGCAAUAACA
rnacentral:rRNA from 1 species